rnacentral:lncRNA from 1 species
UGGUUAUGGCCACGCGGGCAUCUGUGUCAAAGGUGAACUCCACAUUGUAGUGCACCUUGGCUUUGCUGACCUCUUCCCCUGGGGUCUUCACCUCCUCCGAACACUUGACGAGGCGCAGCGUGUCCUUGCGGAUGUUGAUCAGGCUCCGGAGGGUCUUCACGGGUUCCUGAGGAGGUGGAGCAGCGUAAGGGAACACCACGGGCCGGUUCCCCAAGAAGUUG